AAGCCACUAUAUAAGAAAGCUGCACAACGAAUGCAUGUGGAGAGCCAAAGAUAUAGUAUAGGACUGCACUUUUGUAUUUGUGCUCUUUUGUGCCAUGGCGAUAGAUCAUUGAUCAGUAUCUAAGAGAGAUCGUGUGUUACUGGCAAUCGUGCAUUAUCCAACAGGGUUAUGCAUUAUGUGCAAAAAAUAAUUGCUGGAGUAGAUGCUCCAACACCAGUAGUUUUUUUCCGAAAUAGGGCAGCCCCAACCUCUGCAUCCAACACCAGUAGACGACCUAAGGAUGAAUCAAAUGGCUAAUACAAUGGAUUUAAUUCAUGUUUCAUAUGUGCAGGACUUGGAUAGAGGAUGUUAUUCUGAAGUAACUUUGGCAAAAUAAACCUGAAUAGAUCAAAGAAAUACAUAAAGAUGUUGCAGCUUGCACCAUGUGCAGGUGUUAUUAUUAUAUUUCUGUUAAACCAUUGUCUCCUCACCGAGACCAUUAGCUUCACUUGCUUGAAGUGCAGAUGUGAUUGGCAUCAUCUGUGUUCGCUGUCCUAGGAAGGACCAUUGGUGUAGCAAGGAGGGAUGUGUUCCUUCCCGGCCCAAGGUGGACUACUAAUUCUUAUCCUAUCCUUCCUUUUUAUAUACAUUUUAUUACCUGGUUAUUGAUUUGUCUCCUGCCCUUCGUGUUGCGCAUGGUGGGCAAAAAAUUAAAAGGAAAUACACUGGUUAUAGCUACCACUGGCCUACAAUUUUUUAAUCUAAAUAUGUGGCUGCACUGUCAGAUCCAUGCUUGCUCACACACUUGCUUCGCCAUAAUCUCGCUACAUACAUAGUUUCAGUGUCCAAUCUCAUGUUUUCUACGUCUUUUUCCGUUAAAGUGCUUUUGGUUCUAAGUAUUAUGUACAAGAAAGCAUGAUACAUAUAUAGUUUCAGUGUCCAAUCUCAUGUUUUCUACGUCCUUUUUCAUUAAAGUGCUUUUGGUUCCGAGUAUUCUGUACUAGAAAGCAUGAUCCCAAUUUAGUUUAGGUUUCUACUUUUUCGAAGUAAUUUAAUCCCAGUGAUUUCAGUACAAUCUAUUUCUUGCUUGCCUUACCACAUAAUUACCAAUUCAUUUCUUGCUUUUGGUUCCGAGUGUUGUUUCUCCAUUUUGUUUGAGGAUGCCCCUAGCUAAGUAAAACUAUCAGUGAUCGGCUGAUUUAUGGACUACUAAAAAAUGAGAAUUCUUUGCUGAUGCCUCUAAUAAUUUGGUAGACCUAUACAUCUCUCACUAAUAGUACGAUUUUAGAAUGUCGUAGCCGGAAAUCCCAGUGCUUACACUUGUCUAUAAGCUGUAGUAACUUGCAGCUAUCUUAGUCCCAUUAUAUCCCAUGCUGCUGGUUUUGAGUUCUCGAGUGCCACUGUUCGCGGCACAUAUUAUUCUUAGUGAGGCAGAGUUAUUUUGCAAACUAGCCACUUAAUUAUAUGUAUUGUUUUAUUCAGAUAUUGCAUUUGAUUAGUAGUAGCCAGUAAAAGUUGGAUCGACUGACAGGGUUCAAGUAAUGUCAGAUAUGCGAAGUUACCUUUUCUUAACAGUGAGAUACAUAUAUCACGGUUUUGAUUGCUUGCCUCCUUAGUUAUAAUCGAUGAUUAUUUGCCAUUGCUUGUGUCUAUUUUGUCAAUUUAUGAUGGUGCAAAGAGUUCAUUUACCUUGUGUUGAUUUACCGCCGUGAAUUAUAGUUCUCUGGUUAUUCUGGUAAUGAAACAUUUCUAAUUUCUUCAAUUAGACAUUUUCAAAACGAGACCGUGGCAUGAAUCCUUGCCUUAGAUCCUUAGUAUAUGGUACAAUUUUGAUAUCAUUGUUUUGAUAAAAUUUGCAUCUUCAGAGGGCGUCUCUUAAUACUUGUGUAUCCAUGCAAUUUUCCUCCUUAUUGUCAUGUGAUGACAUGUACAAGAGGGCUCAUGAUCCCGUCAAACUCACUCCAAUUUAUAUUUUGUAUAAUGAUGAUAAAAGUAAGGUGGAAAAGCAAAAGAAACAAUGAAGGUACAUAAAAAGAAACAUCUUCACGCUGUCGUGCAAUGCACCAAAGCAAGAGCGUCGCGUCACUGAAUGAGAGACUUCUGGACACUACCAAAGGAAGUCAGUCUUAAAAGAACAGAUAAGGACCGGCUGUUGAUGCUGCUGAAUAUCAUCAACAAGGACCUGCACCAGGCCAUCCUUCUCACACUCCCUUUAGAGGUCAUGACAUCUGAGAAAUGGCAUCUACCAUUUGAAAGGGGAUGCAACUAUACAAUCAGCAAGGUUCCUGCUCUUUUAUGUUGAUAUUCAGAAUUCUAACCCCUUUACUACUGUCAAUUCUGUUUGGAUAUAUAAGAAAGGUAAGCAACCUGCUCAUGACCUGCAAUGCCCUGCAAACUCGACCUUAUCUUCUGUUACUGAAGUUUGCAGGCAAUGGGACCCCGUCCAUGGGGAUGGCUAAAGGCAAAUGUCGACAACUCUUCACUGGCAAUCGUGUUGAUACGACGGGCGCCAUGAUCCACUACCACUUGGGAUGCAUUGCCAUUGCAGCUGGGACCGUUCUGCCUUGCUGCACCAGCGCGGAAGAAGCUGAAGCUAUAGCUCUCCUUGAAUGGCUGUGAAAUGAACAACUCUCGUCCAUGAUGACCAAGGCAAAUAAGCACUGGCGCACUUAAGUUAUAUUUAUUUAUAUUUUACGACUCUGCAUUUAUACUUGACAUACUUGAAGUAUUGAUUCAUCCUUUGAAACCUCAUACAAGUUUUUUUUCUUAGUUAUGCCAUUUUGGUGGGGAAUUCUUUGUAUGAGCCUUGGGCAUUGCUGGAGGCAAGCAAACAAAAAUAUAAGAAGAUAUUCAGUUCACCUUCUGAUAAAAUUUGUUUGUUCUUUUGGUGAAUGUAUGUAGCUUAAAGUGGCCACACAAUCUAUCGUAUGAUUGUAUCUGGGUUAUUUUCUUUGUCACCAUUCAGCUGAUAAGUUACAUGAUGAUUAUGUAUAGAACUAGAUUGAUAUGACCCAACUGAUCAGGU